AGUGAACGCUGGCGGUAGGCCUAACACAUGCAAGUCGAACGGCAGCACAGGAGAGCUUGCUCUCUGGGUGGCGAGUGGCGGACGGGUGAGGAAUACAUCGGAAUCUACCUUUUCGUGGGGGAUAACGUAGGGAAACUUACGCUAAUACCGCAUACGACCUACGGGUGAAAGUGGGGGACCGCAAGGCCUCACGCGAUUAGAUGAGCCGAUGUCCGAGUAGCUAGUUGGCGGGGUAAGCGCCCACCAAGGCGACGCUCGGUAGCUGGUCUGAGAGGAUGAUCAGACACACUGGAACUGAGACACGGUCCAGACUCCUACGGGAGGCAGCAGUGGGGAAUAUUGGACAAUGGGCGCAAGCCUGAUCCAGCCAUACCGCGUGGGUGAAGAAGGCCUUCGGGUUGUAAAGCCCUUUUGUUGGGAAAGAAAUCCUGUCGAUUAAUACUCGGUGGGGAUGACGGUACCCAAAGAAUAAGCACCGGCUAACUUCGUGCCAGCCGCCGCGGUAAGAC
rnacentral:rRNA from 1 species